GAUGAACGCUGGCGGCGUGCCUAACACAUGCAAGUAGAACGCUGAAGGCGGAGCUUGCUCUUCUGGAUGAGUUGCGAACGGGUGAGUAACGCGUAGGUAACCUGCCUGGUACCGGGGGGGAACCUUAGGAAACGAUAGCUAAUACCGCAUGACAACAGUUAUUGCAUGAUAACUGUUUAAAAGAGGCAACUGCUCCACUACCAAAUGGCCCUGCGUUGUAUUAGCUAGUUGGUGUGGUAGCGGGUAACCAAGGAGACGAUACGUAGCCGACCUGCGAGGGUGAUCGGCCACGCUGGGACGGGGACACGGCCCAGCAUCCUAGGGGUGGGAGCAGGACGGAAUCUUCGGCGAUGGACGGAAGUGGGACCAAGCAACGCCGCGGGAGUGAAGAAGGUUUUCGGGUCGUGAAGCUCUGUUGUGAGUGAAGAAUGAGUAGGAGUGUUGAACGGGCACACUGUGACGGUAUCUGACGAGUAAGCUACGGCUAACUACGUG
rnacentral:rRNA from 1 species